CGGUGUGGUGCCUGUGUCCUGUACGCUCGUGCGUUACGGCCCAACGGUGUACGUGCGGGAACGACGUUUCGUGAAUGUGUAUUGAAACGUGUAGUUGCCGUGUGUGUGUGCAGAGGAAGCUGUGUAGAGGAAGGCUCUCGUCUCGUAGCGUGGUAGUGUGUCUUCCUUACGUGUACACGCCGGGAUUCAGCGGUUUUUCUUGUAAGGAUGUACGAUACUGUGAUCAUCGCGUGUGUGUUCAUGUUUACAGCAGUUCGGUGAUAGGAAGGGGAAAGCUUUGAGGUAUCUUUUCCAUGAAUAUAUUUUUGUGUUUGUGUGUGUAUAGUGUGUCACUGUAGGGUGUGUUCUGUGCAAACGCUUGUUUGCAAACGUGUCUUUCUCCAUCCCGAGCAAAAGGCAACCAAUCGCCCUGAAAAUGUCUCGCGUAUCGCGCGUGUCAGUGUGAUAGUGAAACAGUGUUCUGAAGGCGCAGUUUUGUCGAGGGGGGAGGUUUGUCGGCGUAAUAAAAGUGCGGCCGUUAUUUGUGCAAAAUUUGGCCCAAUAUCUUCCAACCUUCGCCCGCACAAAAAAAAAAGCCGGCACCUCCGGUAAAAGGCAAAGAGUGAAGCUAGCGCUGUGCUACAAAAGAAAGCAAGGUGCGGUGUGUUUAAAGUUUUGUCGCUUUUUGCGUGUUUUAUCGCGUAUCGUGUUUCAGCGUUUUACGGCGUGAAAAGUGUACAACCAAAAGCAAAAGAGAGUGUGUGUGUAUAUGCUGAUCCUACCCCGGCGGUUGGAUUAUGCACCGUGGGAUAAUGAAGAAACAAAAUUAACGGUUCCACUAACAGGCUGGCGAACCGACCGACACCAUCGACCGCAGCCCGGGACGCGAUGCUGGGCAAGCUGAAAAUGGCGGACAAGCAGAAGUACUCGGCACAGGAGACGA